UACGAGCUGUGCGAACGUUACUCGGAAUCAUUGGGCUUAAAGGGUGCGUAGGCGGCCUCGCAAGUCGGGUGUGAAAUGUCCUGGCUCAACCAGGGAACUGCGCUCGAAACUGCGGGGCUCGAGGGAGAUAGAGGCAAGCGGAACUCAGGGUGGAGCGGUGAAAUGUGUUGAUAUCCUGGGGAACACCGGUGGCGAAAGCGGCUUGCUGGGUCUCUACUGACGCUGAGGCACGAAAGCCAGGGUAGCGAACGGG
rnacentral:rRNA from 1 species